GAGAAGAGAGAGGAAGAGGGGGCGGUGGGCUCAGCCAGCACGUAACGGAGCGAGGCCGAGGCCGCAGGGCCAGGGCCCCGGGUGGGCAGCGGUCUCCGGCUGCGCUGCUCCCCGGCCGGACCCACCGCGCGCGCAGGCUGUGCCAGCCGAAGGGGGCAGCUGGGAGGGGACCGCAGAGGACGCCGCCCUGGCACCCCCAAGACUUGUGUGUGGGGGGGGGGGCUUCGGUCCUAACAAGAGGAGAGCGCCGGGGGGGAACCGGGGCCGCUUCCUUCUCGGGAGACAUCGAGAGCCCAAACCUGGGCCAGGCACUUUACGGCCACCCUCGUCGGACGUGCUUAAACGUCCCUGAGCCAAAGGGCCGGGGGCCAUUUGGAGCGCGUUCCGUCCCCUGCCCGCCGCCCUUCCAGAUAGGCUGCUCCUGCGGCUGGAGGCUCGACGCCCGGCCCACGUGCCGCUGCAAAGUCAUCUUCCUCGCUGGGCGCCUGCGCGCCCCAUUGGCCGCCUCCGCCGCGGGCCCGCCCCCUCCCGUUUCCCAUUGGCUGCCCGCGCGCGGCGGGCUGCUCCCGAGCCGCUGACUCACGCUGCGCGGGGGGACCGCAGAUAUACUGGCGGAAGAAGGGGCUGGCGCGCGCCCCGUCCUUGAUGCGCGCCGCCAGGGGCUUCGAGAGCUGCCGGACGCCCAGGUGCUGCCGCCUUCUUUGCCAGAACGAAUUGACAUCCUCCUCAGAGGGAGCAGCUGCCAAGUGAACCACCAAGCAGAGAAAGAACCCCUCCGGCAGAAACCUUUACCUGAUGCCUUCCAGAUGCCGUAGGAUGGCAGCUUCCAAAGUCAUGAACAGUCCUUUGACCCGGCUGCCUGGAAAUCGAAUGGAGGAAGGCUGCCCUAAUGGAAGUGGCUGCAAAAAAACGAUGAAG